UUAUUAAUGUGAUAUGACCAGAUAAGCAUGAAGUACUCUGUGAGGACCCCUAACUUCAGUGAUACCCAAGCUUAAACCUAGAGGGAAAAGGAAAGCCAGACAAAAUACAGGGAGCAGUGUACCAGUGAGGAUAGCAUGCUCACAUCUAGAGGCAUCAGGUGGGGAACUGCAAAUGGUUUAGAAGCCUGAGAUAGCACAUGUAAAAAUAGCAGUAGAUGGGGCUGGACAGACCACAAAAUAAAGGACCUUAGUAAACCUGAACCUGGUCCUGAGCAAGAUGGCAAGCACAGAAAGGUUUUAAGCACGAGAGCUGCAGCGCUGUGGAACAAUGCCCUGGACAACGGUGCUCCUUAUAGACUAGAGGGGCAUUUGGGAGGACAGCAACGUCUUAGCUCUGUAGUUACCUCCAGGAUCUGUUAAAUUUUGUGUUUAUCCAGCCACAGAGAAAUGGGAAAUCCCAUUUGCUUCCCAGGGUGGUUGUUUUGUUUUUGUUUUUUAAUGCCCAAUAAUCCUAUUUCAUUUUGUUUCACAUACAUUAAUAUUUUUGAGCUCUUAAGUAUAAGGGUCUCUGUUGUUCCACAUUAUUGUUUGGAUGGUAAGCCUACUCAUUGGGUCAUAGGCACAAUCUGAGUAUUGCCAAGCAAACUGGAAGGCUGUCCCAUGGACUCCUAAGCUUCUUACCAGACUUCACGUUGGGCUAAAUUUUUAAACCACAGUGCUUGGUCUACUUAUUAUUGUCCUCAAAUUCUAGGUGUGCCAGCCCAGCUUCUACUAACCCAGGGUAUUCCUGACCCCUUGCCUCCACAUUACCAGUUGCAGAGCAGGUUAUGUUUGCAUUUGAGUAUCAUAAGUAGAAGCUACCUUUUUUAUCUUUCUUUCUACUUCUAGACUAGAGUCUAGGGGUGGUGGUAUG
rnacentral:lncRNA from 1 species